rnacentral:rRNA from 1 species
UACGGAGGAUGCAAGCGUUAUCCGGAAUGAUUGGGCGUAAAGCGUCCGCAGGUGGCGAUGUAAGUCUGCCGUUAAAGAGUGAGGCUCAACCUCAUAAGAGCAGUGGAAACUACAUAGCUAGAGUACGUUCGGGGCAGAGGGAAUUCCUGGUGUAGCGGUGAAAUGCGUAGAGAUCAGGAAGAACACCAGUGGCGAAGGCGCUCUGCUAGGCCGUAACUGACACUGAGGGACGAAAGCUAGGGGAGCGAAUGGG